rnacentral:lncRNA from 1 species
AAUGGAUCAAAUGGACAUCAUGUGCCUCCCAAUACGAUGCCCUGAGAAGGACACACAUCGCCUCGGCGGGGUUUCUGCCCAACACACAGAACCUGAAUCUAGUCACAGGAAACAUCAGACGAAGCCAAACUAAGCGAUAGUCCACACAAAGAAUCCCGGCCUAGACUUUUCAGAAGUGUUCAUGUCACAAAAGGCAAAGACAGACUAAGGGACCACGCCAGAUUAAAGGAGAUUAAAAAGGCCCAAUAACUGAAUACAAUGUAUGACUCAAGAUUAGAUCCUGGGCCAGAAAAAUAUUUUAUUUCUUUUCUUACAAAGGACAUUAGUGGGACAACUAAUGAGAAUUUGAAUAAGAGCUGUCAAUCAGGUAAUAGGACUGCUUCCCUGUUCAUUUCCUGAUUUUGAUCAACUAGACUGUGGUGAUUUUACGAGAAUGUCCUUCAUUUUGCACUUUGAGGGAAUGCAAGUGGAAUAUUUAGGGGCAAAGGAGCAUCGUGUCUGCCACUUGAUCUCGAAAGAUUCAGGGGGAGAGCGGCAGGCGUGUGUGUGUGUGUGUGUGUGUGUGUGUGUGUGUGUGGAGAGAGCGUGCACGCUUGCAAAUUGGUAAAAAUUGGCCGAAAACGCUUGGGGAGUCUGGGUAAAGGAACACAGGAACUCUUGGCGCUAUGGCUCCGGCGACUUUCCUUUGCAGCCACGCUGAAAAGCAAUCAAAGUGAAAGCCCAGGGCAGCGGGGCCAGCGGGGCCUGCACGCAGCCCCAGGAGGUCUGUCAAGGAAGGGGGCAGACCGGCCAAGGCCCCUGCUGCCUUGUCACCUGCAUCCCCGGGUGUCCCCCCCCCCCCCCGCGGCCAGCCUCAGCCCCUCAGGAAAUACGGCUCUCCGGGCCCCAGCAGGCCUUUGCCAAGAUCCUUUUGACCUUAGCCAGGGCAGGCCAGGGCUCGGUUCUGAAAGAAGAAAGGAACAAGGCUUCCUCCGGGGCCUGCCCCUCCCGGCUGGGUGCAGGCGACGCGUGGCGCAGCCAGCGAGGCUCUCUAAACAAACAGGGCUUUAGCUGCGCACCAGGUGCCACGCUCAUUAAACAGGGGCCAGCCGUGGGGCUAAUCUGACAGGGCGGCCACCAGACGCCCGGUUCCCGCAGGUGGACGGGCGCGCCCCGGCCCCGGGCACGUCUCAGGAAGCCGGGUGGCUGAUGAUUCCGGACAAAUGUGCCGGCGGCUGCCCCGGGGACAGAAGAAGCCCGCCUCUCCCGCCCUCCCUUAUCGGGCCUGCGGACACACCGGGCUGUCGGGAAGGACGGGGGAGGCCCACACACCCCACAUGUGAUGGACCUCCUCGCCCUGCUUAGCGGUUCACAAUUUGACACCCACAGCCCGCUUCGCUGGAUUAGAGGCAUUCACGGCUGGCAGGAAAAGGAGGCCCCAGCGUAGACGUGGUGAUAGAUUGCUAUCAGCAGGCCCCUCGGAGAGCCUGUUGCUUUAUUGUUUGGAGAAGCCUCUCACGGAGGCGGCCGAGGCGUGGUGACUCAGACGCUCCAGAAUCGGGAGAAGCCAGGACCGCGGGUCUGGGUGGGGAUGUGGGCCUGUGUGUCGGGCCCGGCCCCUGGCGCCCAGCCAGCCGGGAGGCCGGGAGGCCGGAGGUCUGUAGGCUCAUAAAAAGAAAGCGCUCGUUCCUCUGCCGGACGAGAAUGCUCCAGGUUUGGUGGGGAGAGAAGGGCAGCCUGAGCCCCCCCCCCGGCCCCCGCGAAUACCUACCCACCGCCUCCCUAUGGUAGCGAGGCCUCUGGGAAACUUGGAAAGAGAAAACAACGAUGACCCACGCCUUCCGAGUUAGCCUGGCCCCUCAGGCCUCAGGGCUCAUGCGUUCUGCCCAGGGUGGGGCAAGCCUGUGAUGUUUCCCGGAUUGUUCAGAGACUCUCUCCUCUCGGCUGGAAAUGGCACGGCACCCGGCAGGGAUUCUCGAACUGUCUGAGGAUGUGGGACCGGGCUUGUUUGUGUUGGUUUGUUUGUUAAUUAAUUUCAAUCCGUCACGGGCGGAUACUUUUGUCAAGUACAAUAAAUAUGAGUUGCUAGAAAAAGGAAGUGAAGAAGAAACACGAGCUACAAAAUACAAGCCCGAACUUUCAUCGUUCGAUCGUCUAACAGACAUAAACAUCCUGUCAAGUUGCCGUCAAGGUGGCUAAACGCUGGCUCCCAAUUUCUGUGCUUAGCUCACCGUGGACAGGUGCCAGUUUGUGGCCUGGCGCUGUAACGCCAGGUCAGAGCGUGUGGGUUCUCAUCCCACUUCUGUCGCUCACCGGCUACGUGGCUUCCCCCUCGGAGCCACCACGUUCGUGCCCGGGUGCUCUUAUAUUUCCACGUGCCCUGUACUGCUCUCCUACAGGGUGGCGUCGGGGCGUAUGGGGGAGGAGAACGGAACUCACGCCGCCACCUCUCACACUUUAAUGUGCACACAGAUCCCCUGGGGAGACUUAACUUCCUGCACAGCCGGGGGUGGGGGGGUGGGGGAGGCGAGAUUCUGCCUUCUUACCAAGGUUCCGGGUAAGGCAGGGGCUGCCGGUCCUGAGACCACACUUCUGAAUAGCUUCUGAAGGAUGAGGGCUUAUGGGGCCUCGUGCAGAGUGAGGAGUGGAUCGCCGCACAGGCCCCUCCCCCUGGAAGGUUCCAGGUCUCUGCCGCGGAGUGUCUGGUCUUGGCCGCCCCUGGAAUGGUGAUUGCUGAGGUGCGGACAGUCCCCCCCACCACCACCACCUCCCUGACUUAAGUGUGCGCCCAGAGAACUGGUCCAGCCACCUGGGUGCAGUCAGAGACCCGUCACCCCAGCCAGCUCCGUCUGCCCUCCUCAAUCAUGGGUGCCGUGGAACCCUCGAAGACUCGGUGACAUUCCCCCAUCUGGCCCUGGGCCUCGGCCCACUGGCCUCAACACAGCUACGUUACUUCCACCAACGGAAGCUCCAGCGCCAUCGCCAGCCGCCAAGCAACAAGGACGGCUCUGCUCAGCACACGGUGCCACCGCUCCGAGUUCUCUGAUGUGGAGCCCGCCGCACGAGUACAGGCUGCAGGCUCCACAUUGUCCUCCCAGAGCCCCCAACACAGCCAGACGCUGCUAUGCCGCUGCCCGAGACAUGCCUUUCACUUCUCAAAUAUCCCCCCUCCCGCCAGAUCCCCGAGCGGGUGAGCGGAACUCCUUCAGAAUGCUUCCCCAGCCUCAGCCCCAUCUUCCCGCCACCUUCCCACCGUCCUCCCGAAGCAGAAGGAAUAGCCUCUCCCCAUCCCUCUUCCUGUCUGGUUGGGAUUUCCCUCUCAACAUAAAGGAAGAAGUGAAGGGAUAUAGGAAAUCUUCUUCUCUCCGGACGAUGCCUGACUUCUGCCCAGUUUCCCCCUCCCCACCCCCCGCCAGUUUCCUCCCUGUGGGUUGAAACACAGUCUGCUUUGACCAGAGCUAAGCAAUGGCCUCCAUGGUGAACAGCGCUCUGGAAACCCAGAGAGCCACUGGCACCCCACCUGUAAAUACUGUCCCAAAUGAUCCAUCCUUGCCCCGUGAGAAAUGAAGGUGUCUCUCAUUAGCCCCAAGAAACCACAAAGCGCUAGUCUCUUAGCAACUUGGAAAAGGAGCACACUUCUUUUUUUAAUGUUUAUUUAUUUAUUUUGAGAGAGAGAGAGAGAGAGAGAGAGAGAGAGAAUCCCAAGCAGGCUCCAUGCUGUCAGUGCAGAGCCCGGUGAGGGGCUCGAUCCCACGAACCGUGAGAUCAUGACCUGCGCCGAAAUAAGGGUCAGACGCUCAACCUACUGAGCCACCCAGACGCCCCCAGGGACACACUCCUUAAGGUCUCUGGGGCGGGUCUCAGAUGAUGGCACCAUUCCACAGGUUAUCAGGCAGCACCCACUGGGGGCAAGGCACCUGUCGGGGACUGGCGAGAUAGCUGGCUCAGAGUUUCUUUCAAAGCACUUACAAGUGACAUCAUCAUCCCUCGUGGCAGGCACUGCGACGCACCAUCCAGCUCCCUUUGCAAGGUCUGACUCACCUACUGAGAGCUCUUGGCCACGGCCACACCCAAUGACUGAUGGGGAGUAUCAUCUGGGGACCGCUCUGAGGGGCCAUUGGGCUACAGAGCUCCCCCUGGGCCCAGCUGAGGCUCCUCCCUCUGCCCACCCCAGUUCUGUCCUCACCCUUCCUCAGGUGUGGACCCCAACGGUCCUCCUUAAUAAACACCCCGCAGCUAAACUCCAUCUCAGAGUCUGUUUCUCGAAGAACCCAGCCCCCGUCACCCGCAGUGCCUGGGGGGUGGGAGAUGGGAGGGGGGCGUGACCAGGAGAUUUGCCCAGGCCCAUCCUGAGAGAGAGCGUGGCCGGACCUGGGGCAACCGCCAGCAAAAGUGGGGGCUGGCCCUCCAGGAAGGCAGGCCUCACUCUCUCCCUUCUUCGAGGAAAGCUGUGGAAGCAGCAUCUGCUAGGCCACAACUGGGGGCGGGGGGGAGAGGGGUAGCGGGGAGCUAGGAGGGGUGGGAAGCAGGCCUGCGGGCAGGAGUGGGAAGAAGAGACACGGUGGGGCGAGGUGGCAGGGUGCAGACACGGGACCCGGGCCUGGCCCUUGGGAAACACAAGUCCCCCCCCCCAUCCAAGUUGGGCUGGGUGACACCGACCAGAUCCCUCCUCGCUCUGGGCCUGCCCCCUCCCCUGUCAGAUGAGGGAGUGCCUCUGUGAUGAGGUGGCCCGUGAGGCCUCCUGCCUCUGGCGUGCUGGCCCCGUGCUAGGCCGUGCCUGCGGCCCCGGGCCUCACAGACAUAGCCCAGAUUGCCGAGAAAGCACGGCAGAAUUCAGCAAGGGGACAUUGGCCCUCUCCGUUUCUGGCGGGCCAGGAGGAGUCUGGUUGUUAUGGGUUGAACUGUGUCCCCCUGAAAAUCAUACGUUGAAGCCCAACCCCCCCCAGGACUUCAGAAUGUGACUAUAUCCGAGAUAAGGCCUUUACAGAGGUGAUUCAGGGAAAAUGAGGUCAUUGGGGUGGGCCCCGAUCCAAGCUGACCGGUGUCCUUAUAAAAGAGGACAUUAGGACACAGACAUGCACAGAGAGAAGAUGUGAGGAGAUAAGGAAGGGACGACCAUCUACAAGCCAACGAGAGAAGGAGGCGUCAGAAGAAACCAACGCUGCUGACCCCUCGAUCCCAGACUUACGGCCUCCAGAACUGCGAGAAAAGUACAUGUGUGUUGUUUCAGCCACCCAGGCUGCGGUCUCGCCAUGACAGCCGGGGCACGAGAAAAGGCUGGUCAGUUAAACGUAUAGACAACCCCAAACCUAGCACUGGAAGGCGUUGCUCCGCAUCGGGAGGCCCGGACACUCCUGAGGGAUUCCUGGCUGGGCAGGCAUGCUUGGGCUUUGGGCUGGGCACGGCUCCCACUCACCACACGCCAGGCUCCGGGAGGGCUGCGUGGGGCGGGAAGUUGCGUGCGGCUUGCAGAGCCGAGAGCGAUCGGGUGGGGCCCCGACCGUGUGGUUGACAACCUCACACCGUGUACAGCCCGGCCUGGGUGUUCCGCACCAAGGAGGGAGAGGAGAGAAUGUUCUGACGGGCCGUGGACCACCACCGCUGUCUGGGUCUGUUUCCUUACCUCUGAGGAGAUUUUCCAAUAGGCGUGUGGUUCAUCGCUCACUGCGAAAUACAAUCGGAGACGUAAUAAGCUGUCCUCGCGGCCCAGACUUGGGGAGGGUCCACGACCCUACCAUGGCCUGCUUUGCCCACUCAGGGCAGCCCGGGGUGUCUCCGAAGGGAGGCCCGGGACCACUCCCAAGGCUCCAAGAGCCGAUUCUGCUUAGGAAAGGCCUUUCUCUAAAUAUUUUCUCUCCAGGUUUGGCUGGAGACAGUCACAGCCCGUCAGGGGGCUUGGAGAGCAAGACUGCCAAGAGCCUCUGAGGACCGCCUUUGUAAAGAGAACCCCAGGAGCAGGGCUGGCCCACACCCAGGCAGCAAAGGGACAGGCCCCCCCUCCCCUCCCUGGGUUCAAGCCAGGGCACCCACUGCGGCCGGGAGUUCUAGGCCCAGGCAGACCCCAGAAAACAGCCCACAGCCCUCCAGUCAGCUGCCGUGUGUUUGUUUUUACAGCUGGUCCUCCCGCUCCGCUGUUCCAGUGAGCAAAGGAAUCUGUUUGUCUGAGAAAAAGAAUGUGGCAGAGAAGGCGGGAGACGGCCCCGGGGCAGCCCCGACGGACUCAGCAGCUACAGAGCUCGCCAAAUCCAGCCAGACGCCCAGGAGAGUCACCCAAAGGCCUAGAGGCCAAGGUCACGGACUCAGAGACACCCUCCCCUCCUCCCCCUCCAGAUGGCCCUGCUCCUUGGUGGGCCAGGGCUUUGCCCAGAGUCCUCAAGGCAGGUACCAGGCUGGCAGUCUAAGUGCACGGAACAGGGACCCACCCUCCUGAGGCAUUUUAUUUGCUUCUCUCUCAUUCACACACACACACACACACACACACACACACACACACAUUGAGAAGGAGGUCAGUCAGCUGUGUGUAUGAGACAAGCACACGGGACUGAAAGCCAGCAAGCCCGUAGACCAGCUCAGGGAGGCCAUCUGCCACACUGGAGUUCCAGCGAGAGCCCUCAGACCUGUCCUCUUUGUUCUAGAGCAUUCUGGGAGGUCCAGCAGGAAGCCAGGCAAGAAUCAGCUCAAAGUCACCCUCAUUUGGGUGGUCUUGGUCGCAGGGACACCUGAUAUCCACAUGUACCCAUACACCCUCACCAACCCCCUGGGCUGACCUAGAAGUUGCCCCGGAGGCUGGGACAAGGGGUAGAAGGGUAAAUUUUCUAGAUUACAGCAGGCCCUUGCCCUUAAGUCGUCAGAUUUGGGUUAGAAAAUUCCCCCACUGCUAUUGUGAUCUGGCUUGUGUUAAAUCCCUCAGAGGUGUCGGGGAAGAAUGUCUAACAACUAAUCCACCCCCCAAAUCUUUCCUGGUCAGAUUAAUAAUCAGGCAUUUCUGUGAAGCCCUCAGGCGGGGCCCUCAUGCUCUUGGAGAAUGUUCUGUCUUACUGGGUCCCCUGUCCUGGUUGCCCCUUACCUGGCACCUGAGGCUGGAAUGUUCAAGGCUCCCCAGCUAGCCUGUGAUGAAGUCAGCCUGUCAGGGUGUGCAGCUGGGGGAAGAGGUUGAGGUAGAAAUAGCCACGGCGGGGGCGCCUGGGUGGCUCAGUCGGUGAAGCGUCUGACUUCGGCUCAGGUCACGAUCUCACGGCCUGUGAGUUCGAGCCCCGCAUCGGGCUCCGUGCUGACAGCUCGGAGCCCGGAGCCCGCUUCGGGUUCUGUGUCUCCCUCUCUCUCUGCCCCUCCCCCAUUCGCGCUCUGUCUCUCCCUCUCUCAAAAAUAAAUACACAUCAAAAAAGUUAAAACAAAAAACAAAAAACCAGCCGCGCCAACACACACACAUGCACACACGUGUGCCGGUCGGACGCUCAACCGCCUGAACCACACAGGUGCCCUUAAAAUUAAGAUAUUAAUACCUGCCUCAGUCCCCAAAGGCUUGGUCUAAGCAUUAAAAGUAAUAAGGGGGCCUUCCUACCAUAGCCACCGAUCCAUAGCAGGGGUAGUUAGCCAUAUUUGCUUUUCUUGAGGUAAAAUUCACAUCACGUAAAAUUCGCCAUGCGAAGCAUCUCAGCAUGUACACGGCGGCGGCAUUCGGUGCCUUUACAACGUUGUGCAAGCCUCACCGCUUUGCAACGCUAGAACAUUUCAUCUCCCGACAAGAAAUCCGGUACCCAUGAAGCAGCCACUCUCCCUUCUCCCCUCCCCAGCCCCCGACAACUCCCGAUCUCCUUCCGGUUCCUGUAGACGUGCCGACUGCGGACACCUCAUACAAAUGGAAUCACACAAGAGGUGGCCUUGUGUCCCUGGCUUCUAUCACUCAGCAUCGCGUCUUCAAGGUCCAUCCAGGAUGUAGCAGCUGAGUCUUUUAUUCCUUUCUGUGGCGGGAUGCCAACACCGCGUGGCUAGACCUCGUUUCGUGGACCCCUUCACCAGCUGAUGAACAUUUGGGCCGUUUCGAUUCGGGGCGGGCUCUCCAUGAACAUGCGUGCCCACGUUUUUUGGGUGGACGUACGUUUUCGAUUCCCUCGGGUACACGCUUCCGCAUGAAAUUGCUAAUCCCGCAGCAAGUCUGUGUUUAACUUUUUGAGGCCCUGCCUCUCGUCCGCAGCAGCUACACCGGUUAUGUUCCCACGGGGUUUCUAUUUCUCCACAUCCUUGCCAACACUUGUUAUUUUCCUUUUUUUUUUUCCGUAAAUCCUAGCCAUCCUCACUGCGGUGUCGAUUUGCAUUUCCCUAAUGACUAACGAUGUUGGAGCCUCUUUUCAUGUGCUUCCUGGCCCGUGUGUUUUUUUCAGGUGUCAGUCAUUCCCAGCAAUAAUUACCCCGGGAUUCAGCCAGUACACAAGAGUGGAUGGAGUUCAACAGGAGAGGGGAUUCGAGAAUGCCCCGACCUCCAUCCCCUCGGUCCGGAUGUCGGAGCCACUGGAUGGCUUCAAGAGCCCCGAGCGUGAGGCCACCACGGUGGCUGGCUUCGUCGACAGCCCACGGUAGGAAGAGGAAGGGCAUAUCCUAGCAGCUCAUUUACCUACUUUUCCCCUUCUUUUGGAUAAAUUCCAGGAGGAAGGCCACCAAGACACAGGGGACAGCAGUCAUCACUGCACCCGUUUAAACUGCCACGAGCUACACACCCGUGGAUUCUCGCUAUCCUGACCUCUCCAGCGGUGGCUGUUGUGGGCACAACGCUUUAAAUGUUUUUGGGAACUGGACAUAAAAUUGUUUUCUAUUUUUGGAUUAUGUUCGCAUAACAGAAACCUAGAAAUUAAAUGUAUAUCUUAUAUUUCCCUCUUCAGCUACCUGUGGAUUUUGCUCAUUUACUAAGAUCAAGUCAUAAAAUGAGCUUUCAUGAAGUAACUGCAUCAACUAUACGUGUUGUCCUCAAUCGGGUUUCCCUUUAUAAUUUGAUCGGAGCGUGGCUUAGUUUUUUUUCGUCUUUGCGUUAAGCAUUUUUGAUGAUCUGUGCAGUUAACCUUUAUUUUCUAUUUUCUGAUUCCUUCUAUCACAUCCAAACUUAAAACGUCCUUCCCCGGGGGCAGAACAUUGUUUUAAGAUGAGAUUCUUCAGAGAAGAAUGUUCCAGCUCCCGAGAAAUCAC